CCUACGGGGCGCUGCAGUGAGGAAUAUUGGUCAAUGGACGAGAGUCUGAACCAGCCAAGUAGCGUGAAGGAUGACUGCCCUAUGGGUUGUAAACUUCUUUUAUAAAGGAAUAAAACGAGGCACGUGUGCCUUUUUGCAUGUACUUUAUGAAUAAGGAUCGGCUAACUCCGUGCCAGCAGCCGCGGUAAUACGGAGGAUCCGAGCGUUAUCCGGCUUUAUUGGGUUUAAAGGGAGCGUAGAUGGGUUGUUAAGUCAGUUGUUAAAGUUUGCGGCUCAACCGUACAAUUGCAAUUGAUACUGGCAGUCUUGAGUACAGUUGAGGUAGGCGGAAUUCGUGGUGUAGCGGUGAAAUGCUUAGAUAUCACGAAGAACCCCGAUUGCGAAGGCAGCUUACUAAACUGUGACUGACAUUGAUGCUCGAAAGUGUGGGUAUCAAACAGGAUUAGAUACCCUUGUAGUC
rnacentral:rRNA from 1 species